GUGGAUCCUGAGAAUCGAAUUCAAUCCACUAGGCUUGGGCAGCAAGUACCUGUGGUCACCUCACUGGCUCACAUAUGUUGAUAACAGCCGAGGCUGAGACACAAGAGAAACUGGCUCCCUUGAGGAUUCACAUUCAAGUCGCCAUUGAGUGGGGAGAGAUGGUCUCCAGUGAGAGACAGUGUAGAGAAAGGAGUUGGCAUGG